rnacentral:rRNA from 1 species
AGAGUUUGAUCCUGGCUCAGGACGAACGCUGGCGGCGUGCCUAACACAUGCAAGUCGAACGGAGAUAAAGAUUUCGGUUUUUAUCUUAGUGGCGCACGGGUGAGUAACACGUGAAUAACCUGACCCAAAGAGGGGGAUAACACCUGGAAACAGGUGCUAAUACCGCAUAAGACCACAAUGUCGCAUGACGAAGGGGUCAAAGAAAAUCGCUUUGGGAGGGGUUCGCGUCCCAUUAGGUAGUAGGCGGGGUAACGGCCCACCUAGCCGACGAUGGGUAGCCGAGCUGAGAGGCUGAUCGGCCACACUGGAACUGAGACACGGUCCAGACUCCUACGGGAGGCAGCAGUGGGGAAUAUUGGGCAAUGGGCGCAAGCCUGACCCAGCAACGCCGCGUGAGGGAAGAAGGUUUUCGGAUUGUAAACCUCUGUCGCAGAAGACGAAGGAAGUGACGGUAUUCUGUGAGGAAGCCCCGGCUAACUACGUGCCAGCAGCCGCGGUAAUACGUAGGGGGCGAGCGUUGUCCGGAAUUACUGGGCGUAAAGGGAGCGUAGGCGGUCUGAUAAGUUGGAUGUGAAAUACCCGGGCUUAACUUGGGGGGUGCAUCCAAUACUGUUGGACUAGAGUACAGGAGAGGAAAGCGGAAUUCCUAGUGUAGCGGUGAAAUGCAUAGAUAUUAGGAGGAACAUCGGUGGCGAAGGCGGCUUUCUGGACUGCAACUGACGCUGAGGCUCGAAAGCGUGGGGAGCAAACAGGAUUAGAUACCCUGGUAGUCCACGC